rnacentral:pre_miRNA from 1 species
CUAUAUUUACCCUGUAGAACCGAAUUUGUGUGAUGUUUAUAUAGUCACAGAUUCGAUUCUAGGGGAAUAUAUAGU